rnacentral:misc_RNA from 1 species
UUAAGUUCAGCGGGUAGUCCUACCUGAUUUGAGGUCAAAUUGUCAAAAUUGUCCAAGUCAAUGGACAGUUAGAAGCUAGUACUAUAAAUCUGCUUCACAUCCACGGCGUAGAUAAUUAUCACACCAAUAGACGGUCCACAAAAGUUCCGCUAAUGCAUUUAAGGAGAGCCGACCUCAUUGAUGAAGCCCACAACCCCCAC